UAGCAAACCAACGGAUGGACAGUGUGGCGCGAACAUCUUGGCAAGCAAGCUUCAAGCAAAUGACAUUGAGGACUGGUUACAUGGAUUUUUGAACCAACAUGCAAGGUGGCUGAACCUUCCGGGGAUUUGUACAGGUGCUUACCGGAUGCGCCAAGAUUGGUCAUUCAAGGUAAUGUCCCUAAUGCUCCCUUUAUCUCUUACCUCCCCA